CAGUCGAGCGGACAGAUGGGAGCUUGCUCCCUGAUGUUAGCGGCGGACGGGUGAGUAACACGUGGGUAACCUGCCUGUAAGACUGGGAUAACUCCGGGAAACCGGGGCUAAUACCGGAUGCUUGUUUGAACCGCAUGGUUCAAACAUAAAAGGUGGCUUCGGCUACCACUUACAGAUGGACCCGCGGCGCAUUAGCUAGUUGGUGAGGUAAUGGCUCACCAAGGCAACGAUGCGUAGCCGACCUGAGAGGGUGAUCGGCCACACUGGGACUGAGACACGGCCCAGACUCCUACGGGAGGCAGCAGUAGGGAAUCUUCCGCAAUGGACGAAAGUCUGACGGAGCAACGCCGCGUGAGUGAUGAAGGUUUUCGGAUCGUAAAGCUCUGUUGUUAGGGAAGAACAAGUNCCGUUCGAAUAGGGCGGUACCUUGACGGUACCUAACCAGAAAGCCACGGCUAACUACGUGCCAGCAGCCGCGGUAAUACGUAGGUGGCAAGCGUUGUCCGGAAUUAUUGGGCGUAAAGGGCUCGCAGGCGGUUCCUUAAGUCUGAUGUGAAAGCCCCCGGCUCAACCGGGGAGGGUCAUUGGAAACUGGGGAACUUGAGUGCAGAAGAGGAGAGUGGAAUUCCACGUGUAGCGGUGAAAUGCGUAGAGAUGUGGAGGAACACCAGUGGCGAAGGCGACUCUCUGGUCUGUAACUGACGCUGAGGAGCGAAAGCGUGGGGAGCGAACAGGAUUAGAUACCCUGGUAGUCCACGCCGUAAACGAUGAGUGCUAAGUGUUAGGGGGUUUCCGCCCCUUAGUGCUGCAGCUAACGCAUUAAGCACUCCGCCUGGGGAGUACGGUCGCAAGACUGAAACUCAAAGGAAUUGACGGGGGCCCGCACAAGCGGUGGAGCAUGUGGUUUAAUUCGAAGCAACGCGAAGAACCUUACCAGGUCUUGACAUCCUCUGACAAUCCUAGAGAUAGGACGUCCCCUUCGGGGGCAGAGUGACAGGUGGUGCAUGGUUGUCGUCAGCUCGUGUCGUGAGAUGUUGGGUUAAGUCCCGCAACGAGCGCAACCCUUGAUCUUAGUUGCCAGCAUUCAGUUGGGCACUCUAAGGUGACUGCCGGUGACAAACCGGAGGAAGGUGGGGAUGACGUCAAAUCAUCAUGCCCCUUAUGACCUGGGCUACACACGUGCUACAAUGGACAGAACAAAGGGCAGCGAAACCGCGAGGUUAAGCCAAUC
rnacentral:rRNA from 1 species